UGAAAAGAGAGAAAAUCAACAGUCCCUGCCUCUAAAGAUGUUCUAGAAACCCGCAGGAACACUCUUCCUGCAGAUUCCUCCCUAGCCUGGUGACGUAGGUGGGUGGGACACUGCAGGCCAGUCACGUGGAACCAGCUGCGCAGGCGCACAGCGAUGCACUGUCCGCAGACCAGUAGUUCUCUUUCACCAACCUGUGCCUCAUUUCCAGGACUUCCAACCUACUCUGCCACCUCCAACUGUGCCAGCCUUGGAGGACCCCAGCCUCUGGGAAUGCCGUGUCUCUCCUACGUGGCCUUCUGUCCAAGCUGCCGGUCACACUAUGCAUCAGCCACUAUAAACAAGCCACUGCCACAGCACAGCCUUCAUCCUCUCUCUGAGGAUUCUGACCCUUGA
rnacentral:lncRNA from 1 species